UACGUAGGGGGCAAGCGUUGUCCGGAAUCAUUGGGCGUAAAGCGCGCGUAGGCGGCCCGGUAAGUCCGCUGUGAAAGUCCAGGGCUCAACCCUGGGAUGCCGGUGGAUACUGUCGGGCUAGAGUACGGAAGAGGCGAGUGGAAUUCCCGGUGUAGCGGUGAAAUGCGCAGAUAUCGGGAGGAACACCAAUUGCGAAGGCAGCUCGCUGGGACGUUACUGACGCUGAGACGCGAAAGCGUGGGGAGCAAACAGG
rnacentral:rRNA from 1 species